rnacentral:lncRNA from 1 species
CAGACGGUCUGACUAGUUUAAGGAGCCUGGCUGAAGCUCUGCCCAAACAAUCUGUGGAUGGAAAAGCGCCACUUGCUACUGGAGAGGUUGAUGAUGAUGAAGUUCCAGAUCUGGUGGAGAAUUUUGAUGAGGCUUCUAAGAAUGAGGCCAACUGAAUUGAAGCAACUUCUGAAGAAACAUGGGAAUAAGGUUUGGAAAGGGU